rnacentral:rRNA from 1 species
CAGCCGCCGCGGUAAUGCGAAGGGUGCAAGCGUUAAUCGGAAUUACUGGGCGUAAAGCGUGCGUAGGCGGUUUGUUAAGUCUGCUGUGAAAUCCCCGGGCUCAACCUGGGAAUGGCAAUGGAUACUGGCAAGCUAGAGUGUGUCAGAGGAUGGUGGAAUUCCCGGUGUAGCGGUGAAAUGCGCAGAGAUCGGGAGGAACAUCAGUGACGAAGGCGGCCAUCUGGGACAACACUGACGCUGAGGCACGAAAGCGCGGGGAGCAAACAGGAUUAGAUACCCGGGUAGUCCCUGUCUCUUAUAC